CCCCCCCCCCCCCCCCCCCGGGUGGGAAGCCUGCUGCGUUGACUGCUCCACUUGUUAAUGCAUUGCCUGCUUCUACAUCGAUCACCCAGCGAAAGCUUGUCAUCAGGUUGAGUUUGACUUCUAUGGCAAACGCAAUGGGCAAAAGCUCGUAAAGACAUAGUGAGUGAAGUGAAGGCUGGGGAAUUCCCUGUUAUUUUUUCUCCUCUAGAAUGCCCAUAUAGAGGACUCUCUUCCUGAAUGCAGUUGCAGGGUUUGGUCCGGAUGCUGUAGAUUGACAAUGUAAUAUUAAACUUACAAAAGCAGUUGGAGCAUGAUGUAUGAUUAAGUGGUGAUUCAAAUCUGUUGUAAUAAGAUGCUUCCUCGGGGAAAAAACUUGCUUUGUAAGUUUAGGGAAAUAGCAGCUGUUCAUGUUGUGAAUUUUAUCUUCAAGGCAAGGAUAUUGUUUGUAAGAUUUAUGAACACUUAUUUUCCUAAAAUCUGGGAUCUGGUUCCUCUCCAA